rnacentral:lncRNA from 1 species
UCCUGUCCCAGUGCUGCUGGCCUCCCCCUCCCACACACAUGGUAGCGCCCUUCCUCCCCUCCUCCCCCCGCUGCAGUGGUACAGCCGCGGGCAGCGCCAUGAUGGAGCAGGGCAGCGCUGUGACGGAGCAGACGGGGGACACGGCCCCCCCAGCCCCAGCCACCCCUUCUUCAUUUGCUGAGCUGCUGCAGCUGGUGCAGAGGGGCCAGGCCCCAGCCGGGGUGCGGUGCCCCAAUGCCUCACCCACAAACGACAGCCCCACAGCCUCCCGCCUCCCGCGGCCACCCAAGCCCUGGGAGAGCCGCCCAGGCCAGCCCUGAGCCGCUCCGGCAGGCAGGAGGCCCAGUCUGCCCCCCCUGGAUGCCCUUGGAUCCCCCAGGAGGACGCAGUAAGGCUGGCUGCAGCCAUAGCUUUAAAUGCUUUUUUUUUUUUUUUUUUUUUUUUUAAGAAACAUAUAAAGAACUCUUAACAAGAAGUAUAAAAAUCUCCUUGCUGCCAUCCAGACGAGGCUCAUACUUAAGGAGAGGCCACAGCCACCACUGGGACUUGGGGACAUAGUCUGCCCCAGGGCUGAGAACCUGCCUGUGGCCGUGCACCCCUGCGACCUGAGGAGCGCUGGAGCCAAGGAUUACUGCUCCAGCGUGAGCCUCAGCUUGAUGUUCAUGGCUGCCAGCUCUGCCAGGAAGUAGCGGAAGACGUGGGGCACUGGGAUGAUCUGGAUGGUGUCCAUCCUGCCACAGAGCAUGCAGGAGUACCUCCUGCUGCUUGCCACGGAGGAAGGAGGUGGGCGCUGGAGCAGAGGAGACAACAUGCUGCCGCAGCUCGUGCAGACAUAGGCUUCGCAGCCAUCAGAGCAGCUGAACAGACGGUCGUGCAGCAGGAAGGAGGUGCCAUGAGCCAGCAACGCAUCACGCUCCAUCUCACCAAAGCGAAUCCCCCCUUCCACAUUCCUCCCCUUGAUGGGCUGGUUGGUGACAGAGUCCCGGGGGCCCGUUGUUCUCACCUGGAACUUGUCGGAGACCAUGUGGCGCAGGCGCUGGUAGUACACGACUCCCACAAAGAUGUCUGCCUCCAGCUCCACGCCGCUGAUUCCACUGUACAUCUUCUCUGUCCCAAAGAAGUUAUAGCCCGCGCUCACCAAAGUCUCACCAAAGUACUUCAAGGCGGAGUUCUUCUCCGUGAAGGUGAAGGGAGUGGCAUCGUAGUAGGCGCCGUGCAGUGCUGCUGACUUCCCCGCCAUGCUCUCAAUUAACAUCCCGAUGGUCAUACGGGAGGGGAACCCAUGGGGGUUGAAGAGGAUGUCUGGAACCAUCCCGUUCUCUGUGAAUGGCAUGUCUUCAACAGGCCAGAGCUGGCUCAGGAUGCCCUUCUGCCCAUGGCGGCUGGCAAAUUUGUCUCCAACAGUUGGGUUUCGAGGAACUCUCACGGUGAUGCAAGCCUUCUUGAAUUUCCCAGUGCCACGGUCAUUGCUGCACAGCUUGAUGUUGUCUACAAUGCCCACUUCUUUAUUCCUGCGUAGGUGGAAAAACAUUCACAGCAAAGGUAUCAGAUGCGCUCAUGACUCAGGUAGGAAAUGAAGCAAAGAAACCAAACCACUUUUAAGUCUAAUGAAGAGCUGGGGAUCACCACAUUUUUUGAAGAAUAUCAUUCAGGGAAAUCAGACUGCAUAAGAAUUAGAGCACAGCAGCCAAACAAAGGUAUCACCCAAGUGCCAUUUGUUUGCUGUUUCUAAUGCUAGCAGCACAGCUGCAAAUUCCAUGCGAUGAGGUAACGCGUCACCCAUGAUAAUAAAGUAAAAACUAUUUAAACCUGGUUCAUCAGUACCACAUCCAAUUGGACAUGCCAGUUGUUUUGCUUCAAGGCAGCAUUUUCCUAAGCAAUAAAUUAACACUGUCCCGGUGGGAUGCUAGCAUAAAUGAACAGGAUCAGGGCAAAGCUGAGAGGAAAUCUCAGGAGCAGAGAGCAAAGGCACAGGGGGAGCUGAGUGGGCCCUCUGCCAACAGGUGUUCAGGGCUAUGCUGCUGUUUCAAGCAAACCCUCAGCAGAUGUUUCACA